rnacentral:lncRNA from 1 species
UCAAUUAAAUUUCAGCCUUUAAUAACCAAGUCUUACCUGUUUACGGGGUAAAUCAAUGAAUAUAGUUGUGGUCACCAGACUUCGAGCAAAGCAGGUGGUGGAUGGGAUCCACAAGGACCACAAGGACUGUCUUGAGUGACAUGCUGGUUUGAGGUAACCGAUAACUAUAAUGGGGGUCUAUUUGGGAAAACAAAUGGACAUUUUGAUCUUGAUCCACUGGCCUAGAUCAUGAUUUACUAAACCGUUUAACGUUUAACGAACGUCGUUCGGUAAAGCAAGGCACGCUGCAGUAUUUCGACAGAGACGUUAUACAUUGUUUGGGGUUAACGGCGAUGAGAUCGUGGCACGUGUUCUGACAUAUGGAUACGGAGUUCGCAGCCGUGGGGUCACUCGAGUGAAACACCAAAGGACGAAUCAUCCUUCAAUACAAAAUUUUGAAAAUCCUUACUAGUGAACUUUGUUUUGUUGCCCCAGUCCGUUCUUUUUUACCCUUUUAUCUUUGCUAAUUUUACACUGUUACCUUUUUGGGUAAAGUAUAGCGUACUCUUCAAGAUAAGAAUUACGCAGGGGAAGGGCAUUGAAGUAAAGUCCAGGGACUUCAAAUGGCAAGGGGAGAAAAGUGAUUCCCUGAAUUUAAGUAAAA